AAGUCGUAACAAGGUUUCCGUAGGUGAACCUGCGGAAGGAUCAUUAACAAAAAAAUACAACAAAAAAACCUUUUUUUAUUUUAUUAUUUAUAUUUAAAUCAAACACCAUGUGAAUCUUUGUAAUUUUUAUUACAAAAAAUUAAAUAAAACCACAAAAAAUUUAAAAAAAAUGAAAGUGAAAGAGAAAAAGAAAAGCUUUAUCUCUUUCUUUACCAAAAAUUUUUAAUCAAAGAAAUAACUCUUAACAAUGGAUAUCUCGGCUCUCGC
rnacentral:misc_RNA from 1 species